CCAGGAAGACAUCAGAGGAGAAUGAAAGAAGAAAGGUUUAUGAGAACCGAGCAGUGCUCAGACAAGAACUCUACCCACUGAAGUCAACUGGGUAAGAAAAGCAACUAAAUGCCAAUGAGGAGAUAGUUUCACUAAUCCCUACCAGGAAAUUAUACUACAGAGAAAUUUUUUUCUAAGAACACUUAGGAAGACCAAAGUGCAAAUUAAGUUUCACUGGAUGUCAUGCAAGGAAUCCUCAAGCUCAAAGAGCAUCUCUCCUCUCAAGUUUU
rnacentral:lncRNA from 10 species